ACGAGGACGCAUCCUUCGGGAAGCGAGCGUACACAGGUGCUGCAUGGCUGUCGUCAGCCCGUGUCGUGAGAUGUUGGGUUAAGUCCCGCAACGAGCGCAACCCUUGCCUUUAGUUGCCAGCAGUUCGGCUGGGCACUCUAAAGGGACUGCCGGUGUUAAACCGGAGGAAGGUGGGGAUGACGUCAAGUCCUCAUGGCCUUUAUGACCAGGGCUACACACGUACUACAAUGGCCGAUACAAAGGGCAGCGACACUGCGAGGUGAAGCCAAUCCCGUAAAAUCGGUCUCAGUCCGGAUUGGAGUCUGCAACUCGACUCCAUGAAGUUGGAAUCGCUAGUAAUCGUGGAUCAGCAUGCCACGGUGAAUACGUUCCCGGGCCUU
rnacentral:rRNA from 1 species